AGUUUUUUGUAUUUUUAUAUUUUUUUUAACACUAGGAUUACAAACAAGUUUGCGGUCCUGCCUGAUAGUAAGUAUUUAUCUUAGUCUAAGAACAGAUUGCAUUGCGUCGCAAGCUCGUUGCCGACACUAACCCCGCUGUCAACACUGCACAUCCCCACAAGCUCUGGUUAUAUUCUGUGAAAGCGAUGCUCUCAAGCAGCAGAGGUGGCUCGUGACAUUUGUUGAUAGGGGUUCACAAAUAAUUAAAGAAAAACUAGAGCUUACUUUAUUUUAUUAAUU